AGCACUCAGUUCACUUCCUAGUGUUACUUCAGUUUUUGUCACGGCCUCUGAGUUCUUAGCUGUCUAUGUGCUGUUCAGUGCCUCCCCAAGCAUGGAUAAUAGAUAUUUGGACUAAAAAAGGAAAGCAACUUUUUCAAUUAAGGGCAAAAUGUACAGAAAGUAAAUGACACAAGUUUUAUCAGCUGUCUAUUGGCUUCUAUGUGCACAGUCUCCAGAUACAAUCAGUAGGUGCUCAAACAGAUAAUUACAGUCUUCCUGUAAAAGGCUUCAUGUAGGAGAGCCACCUGCCUGCCUGCUACCACUUGCAGGAUCAGAGUUGUUCUUUAUUUUUACUGCUGCAGAUUGUGGAAUCACACUUUUCCAACUUCUGUUUGGAAAAAAGAAGCGUUUUUCUAGCACAUCUCCUUUCAGAGGACUGCUGCACCAGAUGACAUUCUGCCUGGCAGAAACAUGUAAAGAAACUGGAGAGAAAUAUCCUUAACAAUUUGUGAGUGACAUAUUUGGGUUUGUGUUUAAUUCUUGUUGGAUAAGUUUUAAAAGGAUGAAACUUUACAUUUGAAAAUGAAAGGAAUAAGAUAGACAUAAUACUUUCGAGCAUAUAAGUGACCUGUUUCUCAGUGCUGUUUAUCAGGAAUAUUGCUGUUGCAUUUACUAGAACUCUCCUCUCUUUAGUCCCACUUGAAACCCCUCUUCAAAUUAAUGGAACAAUCCUCCUUCCACCAAAUGCAGGACCACUGUCGCUUAUGUUACCAAGAAUUAUUGUUAUUUUCAGAAUAAAUAUUUCUGAAAAUAGCAUGUAGUGUCAGUACACUUGAUUAAAUGUCCAAGAACAGAGAUUAAAUGAUCAGAGUCAACAGAGGAGAUGUGAAUUAAAGGGCAACAUGCAUACUUGGGUUUCGUUGGUGAAUACCAGUGAAAGCUCACCUUGAUGUGGAUCUUGCAGAAGCAGAAGACUGACAGCAUUGUAAAAAAGAAAAGCCACCUUUGUACAAGGCAUGUUUAAUUUUGUAUUUCCUUACACCUUCCAUCAGGUAGCGUCACCAGGUAGCUGGUGAUGGGUGUCCAUCACUAGCUCAGCAUCAAAGCAGCACAAGCUAGCAUGUAUGCUCAUAAACUCAGUAUUGUGGCUGAAUCACUGUGCAAGCACAGAAUAAACCAGGGAUCUGAACUAGAUCUGAACCCUGCAGAAGCUAGAGACGCACUCCAGUGCGAUGGACUGUCGUUCCAUAGGAUAUUUUUUGCAACACUAUGGGUCUUCACUGUCUCCAAGGGGUUAGUAUAUAGUCUACAGCUUCGAUGAUGCCAGGUUUCUGAACAGUGGGCAAAUCUGCUCACACAUUUAGGCAUUGGAUUCUCCCAGUGGGACUGAAGAUUUAUAGGAGGCUAUGAUUUGUGUAGUAGGAAAA